UUCUAACGUUGCUAAAUGGAUGUUGCCUAAAUAAAAUAUAGGCAGCGAGCCGAGUUUUUUCAGUGAGACAAACAGCUUAGCGGAAGUGUCGUUUAAUAUCCGGGACUAAACGGAUGGCUGUCAAAUUUCAAGCGAAACGAAUUUCGCUGGCUUCAUAGUCCAUGGACCGAUUGAGUUUGCCCUCGGAAGUAGGAGCAUGCGGCGCAACGCCUCCCGGUUCUCGAUUGGCGACUCCCAGAGGCGUUGGAAGUUUGGAACCGCAUCGGUUGGGAUUUCCUCUCAGGGUACACCGGGAGCGAUUCCAAUGGUCCUUUUAUAGAAUUGCUUCCAAAGUUGAUCGCGACUUUUACCAGUACUACUGGAGAUUCGGUACUGGCGGAGAAUUUGGACAUUGUUUGCCUGGACCUAGAACGAUUCCUAUCCUAUAUAGGUUUCUCUUCGUUACCGGGUGUUGAGAAGUGAUUUCGAUACCUUCUAGAUCGAAACUCGUCCAUGGUUCCGCUAUAGCCAGUUUCAUUUAAGUAUAUCACAUAACUAUCAUUUGCAACGCAUUCUGGGCUGACCAUACGAAAUUGAUGCUGCCCAUCGGAAUAAAUUUAAGUUGCCACAAGAUGCUGGACUAGUGGGAGGAAUGUUUUGGCCACCGUUUCCACCAACCCUAGAAUAUCGUCCUCAUUAUAGUCCCACAUAUGCACUAAAAAGCUUAUCAAUGGACACUUUGGCAAAAAAAUGGUAAAUGUUUAACAGGCCCUCUGAGCCAACGUUUCGAAAUAGCACUAGCAAUGAGAUUAGCAACAGUAGUUCCGAUGUCGAACAUAGCCAUUCGCGAAGC